rnacentral:misc_RNA from 1 species
CCGAGUAUCUACUCAUAACCCUUUGUGAACCAAAUUGUUGCUUCGCGCUCGUCCGAGCCGCCGGUACAUCAGUCUCUAUAUUUUUACCAACGAUACUUCUGAGUGUUCUUACGAACUAUUA